UUUUGAAUACAAGCAUAGAGAAUUUUGGUCACUCACUUUCUCCUUAUUCUCUACCAUUUUCUCAUCACCCAAACACCAUUCACACCAUCUUCUAUCCACUCAAGUUUUUUUUCUAAGUAUUUGCAAAGAUUAGGAUCAUCUUUCUUCAAGGGAAGCCAUGAGGUUUUUAAAUAAAUAAGAUUGUUGGUGAGACAAACAUUGCUGAGCGGAACAUGUGCAGAGGGCUAUGGAAUUGGGAAACAUUUCUUUUUGUUGAAGCGGCUAUAUUCUUCUUGUGGAACCCAUCAACAGUUCAAAGAUCAACAAAAUGCAAAAAGAAAUGGACUUUUUUUAUUCUCCACUACAUAUGCACAUGAACGGACAUGAAUUUUCUUUUCGUCAUGGGACGUGGACCCCACACCAGUUCAAGUUGUUCAACUUUCUUACUUUUCAUGAAAAUGGACGCAUGGGAAACAAUGAAUUUGUUCUUUUUAUGACAACUACUACAUGAGGAGUUGAAGGCAAGUGGCUGGACAUGUGGACAUCUGCAAUGCACGGUUUGACCAUCAUGUAGCACAUAAAUUAGAGAUAUUUGCUGGAGCAUUUCCCUUUUGCUUUUGGAAGCAAGCGCACGCGAGGUUUCUUCUCAAAACCCAGCAGUUUUUUUGAAAUAUUUCCUUAUUUUUUUAGAAGUUGUUCUGCACAAUUCUCACUGACAAAAAAUAGCAGCACACUGAAUUAAAAAGAAAGCAAACACAACAACUUUCUAACAUAGAUGGAAUGCAGCUGUUCUUUUCUUGGUUCACGUAAGAUGCAGCAGUCCUCCAUUCACGAAUGCGAUCUUCUCUUACUGUUGGAUGGACACAUGUGGCUAGGAGAUUUAUUUUGUUUUCUUUCCUUUUUUUUUUUUGACGCACGAAAUGGCUCUAAAAGAGAGAGGGGAAAGAGUUGUACAGGGAUGUUUUAUUUUAUUUUAUUUUAUUUUUUUGGGGUCAAGUAGAGUUUUGCUAAGUUUUUCUUUUAGUUCUUAGGUUUUUUGCUCAAACUUAUUUUUCCUUGAAUUUUUGAGAGAAUUCAGGUGGGGAAAGAAGACGACAAUGCAGUUGUGAGCCCCUGGCCCAACUAUUGUUGCCCAUCCUUCCUCCAUCUAUAGCCAUUUUUUUCAGUUUAUUUUGAGAGAGAGAUGAUAGCGCAAUUGUAGAGCCUUUGGCCCAAUUGUUUCUGACCA